ACACCAAGGAUGUAAGUAUUGUAUGGUCUACAGAUGAUAAUGAUGAGGGAGGCGUAGAAUAUACAGCAGACAUAACAAAGCCAUGGCAAGUACAUAAAAAGACACAACCAGAUGAAAUGUUAGAUAACAUUUGCGAUCCUAGCGAGUUUCGAGGUGACCUUGUUAGUCUCAUCUGCCAUUUGAUAGUCGGGGUGUGUUUGAAAGAAGUCAAAUCGACUAAAGAGCAUUACGAGGAGUAUCAUACUGCAUUAUCGAUGUUCCUUUUGAAAAAGGGCGAUUGGACAAUUUCUAAACAGAAUAUGACAAGGGUUUUUAAUCAGAGAUCUCUUGAAUACAUCUAU